rnacentral:tmRNA from 1 species
GGGGAUGCUCUGGUUUCGACGAAUAUGAGAAAGCCUGUACUGCAGGUAAGGUUCUGCCUGUCCUUUGAACAGACAAAAAAAAUAACUGAAGAAGAUAAUUCUCAGUUUGCUCUCGCUGCGUAGUCAGCCGAGCCGGAAACUUGAUUGUGCCGUUCUGAACAUUCAGUAUUUCUGUCAAAAACCAGGACUUGCUGCAUGAUGUGUCUGGUCGUCAUGUGGGACUUUUAAUCAGGAUACGGAAGCGAUGCUUGCGGUGCUGCUACCGUUUCCCGACAAUCGCCUCGCACCGAUAAACUUGUAGAGGUAUUUGUUUUCCAUAUUCGGACGGGGGUUCAAAUCCCCCCAUCUCCA